rnacentral:misc_RNA from 1 species
GCCCUUGUUGAAUCUCCCUCCACACAUCAUCAACAGUCUUCCCACUCAAUGCUCUGGCCAGUUUGAAACUGGCCUGACGUUUGAGAGAAUAUACUGAAGAGGAACUCUCACUCUCCAUUCCCAUGGAUUGAUUGGCUUCAGCUGUCCAGAUAUUAUGAAGAAGCUCAUCAAGGUUCAUGCUGCCUAAUGGCUUCCCCAUUUCACCUAACUGGUUUUUAACCUCAUCAAGAGUAAGACCGUACCAUGAGUUUUGCCUUGUCAAUGGGGCAGGUUGUAAAUGAGAUUGUUGGCCGUUCAAUUGAGAACCCAUCGUCUGGAUCCCCAUCCACAACACUUUCAAAAACCAACCUUGAGGUUUGAUCUAUCAUCAUGAGAAUCAAAUUUUUAACUCUUAGUCGUAUAAUAAUUACACACAUCACUUAUCAACCAGUUAUUCCUUGAUACUUUUUCCUUUUUUGUAAGAAACCAAAAUAUUCAAUGAGAUAGAU